GUACGGGGAAUGACUCUUUGUGUUCUAGAACCAGGUUGCCUGGGCCUGGGCUGUCUGGACCUAGGGAGUGUUGUCCUGCCCCUAUGAUCUGUGUGUGCUUCCUGUUGAGGCGCUGUAUGGACAACCAAGGCCCUUUCAGUAAUUCCUCGGGCCCUACCUGAAGGACUUCCUGCGAACAGUGACCUCCUGAAGGGACAGCUCACUUUUUUUUUUUUUUUUUAGCCUUGGCUCUCUUGGAUUUGCUUUGUAGACCGGGCUAGCCUCGAACUCACAGAGAUCCACCUGCCUCUGCCUCCCUCCGCCUCCCAGUCUGCUGAGACAGCUCAAUUUUACUCAUCACUAGUAUUUUAUGUCCAGCUGCUUGUUUUAUAGCCUUGAAUUCUUCCAGUCAGAAGUGCUUGAAGCCUAGAGAGCUGAAGUGACAGCAACAGUCACACAGGCUUGAAAUAACUGUGACAGGCAGGGCACAGCUUUCCUCCUCGGGAGGCUGAAGGCUCCGUUUGCCUGGGGCCUGUGAGCGACUGAUAAGCUGCGGAGAGGGAGGAGAAAGAACCUCGGUGUCAGCCGCCCUCCCCUUCUGAGAAUGUUCGAGUCUCCUUAUCCUGUCAGAGCCUGGGAGCCGUCCUCAGCUUCAAGUGGGCGUGAGCUGAGUGAUAAAGUAGCCAGGGAAUAGAAAGAACUUCCUUGAGCACUUGGUUGGGAGUUGGCCCCCCGGAAAACAGGCCUGGUGGCAAAUCUACAACACCAGCUCUCGGGGAUUUGAGACAGGAGACUGUUCAAGGCCAGCCUGGGGCACAUGAGAUCCUGCCUCAAAAACAAAGCCAGCAAACAAAAGGUAGGCUGGCAAGAUGGCCUUUUGGCAAAGGCUCCGGCUGCCAAGGCUGAGUUAAAUUCCCCAGGACCUACAUGGCAGAAGGAGAAAAUCAACCUCCACAAACCGACCGCUGACCCACACAUAUGGGAGGAAGGAGAGUUUUGUUGCAGUGUGGGGUUGGCGGCAGUCCGGCCAGGAGAACCUUUGCCCAGAGGAAGAGGCCGCCUCCUGCUGACGCAGUCCUGGGGUGUCUGGAGAUGCCUGGCGUCUCGUCCCCUAUUCCCAAGAGGCACCCUUUCCCAUGAGUGAAAUGGAGCUACGUGACCUGCUCAUCAACAACACGCUUCAAACAGCUGGCGCAGGACUGGAAGACAGCAGCACUGGUUUGCUGAAGACGGGAAAGAGCCGAGCUGCCGCCUCUGCAAAAUCCAGGGAAAAGGCGGUGUUUGGCGCCACCUAGUGUUACAGAGCGGAGGGGACCCGAGGCACAGCUCGGAGCCAUCAGGGCUGCCAGGGAUUAAUAACCCCUAUAAAAAAAGGAUUAGGGGUUGUGGGGAAGGAGCUUUCAGGAGAGACUGUCCUGGGUUGCAUAGCCAGAUUGCACAACUUGCUAAGAGUCACUAAAUAAAGAUCAUUGUCCUGCU